rnacentral:rRNA from 1 species
GACGAACGCUGGCGGCGUGCUUAACACAUGCAAGUCGAACGGAAAGGCCCCUUUGGGGGUACUCGAGUGGCGAACGGGUGAGUAACACGUGAGUAACCUGCCCUUGACUUCGGGAUAACUUCAGGAAACUGGGGCUAAUACCGGAUAGGAAUCCUUGCUGCAUGGUGGGGGUUGGAAGCUUCGGCGGUUUUGGAUGGACUCGCGGCUUAUCAGCUUGUUGGUGGGGUAGUGGCUUACCAAGGCUUUGACGGGUAGCCGGCCUGAGAGGGCGACCGGCCACAUUGGGACUGAGAUACGGCCCAGACUCCUACGGGAGGCAGCAGUGGGGAAUAUUGCACAAUGGGCGGAAGCCUGAUGCAGCAACGCCGCGUGCGGGAUGACGGCCUUCGGGUUGUAAACCGCUUUCAGCAGGGGCGAAGCUUGUGGUGACGGUACCUGCAGAAGAAGCACCGGCUAACUACGUG